GGCAUGGUCUGUGACUGAAGUGCCAGGUCAAGUGACCCUGCCGCGCAGACUGUAAAUCUGCCGGCUCAGCCUUCCCAGGUUCGAAUCCUGGCGCCGCCA
rnacentral:tRNA from 1 species